rnacentral:snRNA from 1 species
UUGUGCAGGCCUGACAUAUAGCCUAAAAUUGGAAUGAUACAGGUAUUAGUAUGGCCCCUGCCCAAGGAUCACACAAACACACACGCAUUUACACACAUAUAC